rnacentral:rRNA from 1 species
UACGAAGGGGGCUAGCGUUGCUCGGAAUCACUGGGCGUAAAGCGCACGUAGGCGGAUUGUUAAGUCAGGGGUGAAAUCCUGGAGCUCAACUCCAGAACUGCCUUUGAUACUGAGGAUCUCGAGUCCGGGAGAGGUGAGUGGAACUCCGAGUGUAGAGGUGAAAUUCGUAGAUAUUCGCAAGAACACCAGUGGCGAAGGCGGCUCACUGGCCCGGAACUGACGCUGAGACGCGAAAGCGUGGGGAGCAAACAGG